UGGGGAAUUUUGGACAAUGGGGGAAACCCUGAUCCAGCCAUCCCGCGUGUGCGAUGAAGGCCUUCGGGUUGUAAAGCACUUUUGGCAGGAAAGAAACGUCGCGGGUUAAUACCCCGCGAAACUGACGGUACCUGCAGAAUAAGCACCGGCUAACUACGUGCCAGCAGCCGCGGUAAUACGUAGGGUGCAAGCGUUAAUCGGAAUUACUGGGCGUAAAGCGUGCGCAGGCGGUUCGGAAAGAAAGAUGUGAAAUCCCAGAGCUUAACUUUGGAACUGCAUUUUUAACUACCGGGCUAGAGUGUGUCAGAGGGAGGUGGAAUUCCGCGUGUAGCAGUGAAAUGCGUAGAUAUGCGGAGGAACACCGAUGGCGAAGGCAGCCUCCUGGGAUAACACUGACGCUCAUGCACGAAAGCGUGGGGAGCAAACAGGAUUAGAUACCCUGGUAGUCCACGCCCUAAACGAUGUCAACUAGCUGUUGGGGCCUUCGGGCCUUGGUAGCGCAGCUAACGCGUGAAGUUGACCGCCUGGGGAGUACGGUCGCAAGAUUAAAACUUAAAGGAAUU
rnacentral:rRNA from 1 species